UACGUAGGGUGCGAGCGUUAAUCGGAAUUACUGGGCGUAAAGUGUGCGCAGGCGGCGUUGCAAGUCGAGUGUGAAAGCCCCGGGCUUAACUUGGGAAUUGCGCUCGAAACUACGACGCUGGAGUGUGGCAGAGGAAGGUGGAAUUCCACGUGUAGCGGUGAAAUGCGUAGAGAUGUGGAGGAACACCGAUGGCGAAGGCAGCCUUCUGGGCCAACACUGACGCUCAUGCACGAAAGCGUGGGGAGCAAACAGG
rnacentral:rRNA from 1 species